AUACUUACCUGUCAGGGGAGACACCAUGAUCAAGAAGGCAGUUCACCCAGGGCGAGCCUUGUCCAUUGCACUCCGGCCGUGCUGACCCCUGCGAAUUCCCCAAAUGUGGGAAUCUCGACUGCAUAAUUUAUGGUAGUGGGGGACCGCGUUCGCGUCACCUG
ensembl:snRNA U1 U1 spliceosomal RNA